rnacentral:piRNA from 1 species
UUCCAGCCCAGGUGGGGACUUGACAGAUGU